UUGGAGGGCAAGUCUGGUGCCAGCAGCCGCGGUAAUUCCAGCUCCAAUAGCGUAUAUUAAAGUUGUUGCAGUUAAAAAGCUCGUAGUUGAAUUUCGGGGUCAGUAGGUUGGUCGUGCCACCGGUACGUACUGGUCUCACUGAUUCCUCCUUCCUGAUGAGCUGUAAUGCCAUUAACUUGGUGUUGCAGGGAAUCUGGACUGUUACUUUGAAAAAAUUAGAGUGUUUAAAGCAGGCUAACGCUUGAAUACAUUAGCAUGGAAUAAUGAAAUAGGACGUUCGAUCCUAUUUUGUUGGUUUCUAGGAUUGACGUAAUGAUUAAUAGGGAUAGUUGGGGGCAUUAGUAUUCAAUUGUCAGAGGUGAAAUUCUUGGAUUUAUUGAAGACUAACUACUGCGAAAGCAUUUGCCAAGGAUGUUUUCAUUAAUCAAGAACGAAAGUUAGGGGAUCGAAGACGAUCAGAUACCGUCGUAGUCUUAACCAUAAACUAUGCCGACUAGGGAUCGGAUGAUGUUAAUUUUUUAAUGACUCAUUCGGCGCCUUACGGGAAAC
rnacentral:rRNA from 1 species